rnacentral:tmRNA from 1 species
GGGGUUGUACUGGUUUCGACAGGAAUUUUGAAGUCGGAGAAGCAGGUCGCAGGCAUGCGUUAAUUCCAACAUUAAAUACAAACGCUGAAGAUAAUUUAGCAAUCGCUGCCUAAUGGCAGCUGUCCGCCUUAGUGCACCUACGCAUUAAGAUACGGGCAUCGAUCUCGUAGGAAACGACACGGGCUAAGCUUUGCACCCGCGGGCGUAUCAUGAAGCUACCAAGUUCAGUAUCCUGCUAACCGGAGGCUGAAGGAGGGAAUGUCAAAAGAUUAGAUAAACCUGUAGAAGUACGAUGGAUGGGUUUUUGGACAGGGGUUCGAUUCCCCUCAGCUCCACUA